AGUGUUCUCGUUUAUAUGGAACCACCUUAAGCUUUUUAAAUUUUUUAAAAAGACCAUCCGAACUAAGAAGUGAAACAUAUAAAAAGUGAAAAUACUUAAAAAGAAAUUUUUUGGGAAAAUAACCUAAUGCU
rnacentral:rRNA from 1 species